rnacentral:rRNA from 1 species
GACGAACGCUGGCGGCGUGCUUAACACAUGCAAGUCGAACGGAAAGGCCCUGCUUUUGUGGGGUGCUCGAGUGGCGAACGGGUGAGUAACACGUGAGUAACCUGCCCUUGACUUUGGGAUAACUUCAGGAAACUGGGGCUAAUACCGGAUAGGAGCUCCUGCUGCAUGGUGGGGGUUGGAAAGUUUCGGCGGUUGGGGAUGGACUCGCGGCUUAUCAGCUUGUUGGUGGGGUAGUGGCUUACCAAGGCUUUGACGGGUAGCCGGCCUGAGAGGGUGACCGGCACGAGUGGUGCUGAGACACGGCCAGGAUGAGAAGGGGGGGGGGCGGUGGGGGAGAGGGGGCAGUGGGCGGACGCCUGGUGAGGCAGCGGCGGGAGGGGGGUGAGGGGCGGGGGUGUGUAAGCCGAUGGCGCGGGUGAAGAAGGGGGGUGGAGGGUAAUGAAAAAAGAAGCCCCUGUUAACGACGUGCCAGGAGCCGAGAAUAGAGACAGCACACGUCUGAGC